GCCCUCCAGAUGGGCUAUGGCCGGGAAGAGGUCAGGGAGCAAGGGGGCCACGGGGAUCCGGGGCGUGGGACUCGGGCCCCGGCCUGAGUCUUAGGUAUCCGUAGCGCCCUCCUUCUUCCUCCUCUUCGCUGAAUACAGCUCACGGUAAGUACUGGUUCACACAGUUCGUUCUCGAGGUGCUCACUCUCUUUCUCUUCCUCCACAGGCAACGGCUGGGACACAAAAGCACAGUUAGUUCAGCUUGGUUUUGCUCUCACCUCUUCGCUGAUUACAGCUCACAGUAAGUACUGGUUCACACAGUUCGUUCCUUGGGUGCUCACUCUCUUUCUCUUCCUCCACAGGCAACGGCUGGGACACAAAAGCACAGUUAAUUCGGCUUGGUUUUGCUCUCACCUCUUCGCUGAUUGCAGCUCACAGUAUCAACUUGGACACAAAGCACAGUUACUCUGCUUUGGAUGGCUUUCACCUCUGGGCUGGACACAGCGUACCGUGCUAUCUCCGGAGAUCUGAAGCACGCUCACAACAUAUACUGUACUGAACUAGGCUAGGACCAGCAGUCUCCUUGUCCUCCCGCGACGAAGUGCGUGAAGGCGGGGGUUUAUCUGACAGGACACACGGCAAUACACAGCAGCCCACAGCAAUAUACAACACCAC
ensembl:lncRNA